ACGUUUCUUCAUCCUCCAUGGGAGUUUUCUUCAAGCUUUCAUAACUCUCUCAAGCUAGCUCCACUUUUCAUGCUUUUAUGUACCCUUUCAUAGAACCUUUUUGCUCUUUCACUCUCUCACUUUAAAACCCUUGAAAAGUCUUACUUUCAUAUUCUCUCUCACUAGCUAGGUGUUUUAGAGAGAGAAAGAGGGAGUUUCUAUAAUAGCUUGAAAAUUAUUGGAAAAAAUUUCAAAUUUACAAAGCUACAAAGGUGAGUAGUGAAUUAAAAUUUCUGUUUAGUUACUGAUAAUGUCUAGUAAUUUCAUUUGUGAGUGUUUUAUUGUUGAGAUUGUUUAAUCAUUUUUAGUGUGACUAGAGUAGUGCAAAUAAUAGCUAUUUAAUGGUAGUUGGAAGCUAGUAGGAAUGACUAGUAAAACUCAAUUUAGAAAAUAGCUAUUGAAUAGUAUUAAUGCCAAGUUGGGUUGAUGGUGAUCAUGCUAAUGUGAUGAUAGGUUCCAAUGGAGCCCCACCACCCCAUUUGGACCAUUAGAGGAAGUUGGAGUUGAG
rnacentral:lncRNA from 1 species